UGAACCGUUAUAACCGGCGAUACCCGAAUGGGGAAACCCAGUGUGAUUCGUCACACUAUCAUUAACUGAAUCCAUAGGUUAAUGAGGCGAACCGGGGGAACUGAAACAUCUAAGUACCCCGAGGAAAAGAAAUCAACCGAGAUUCCCCCAGUAGCGGCGAGCGAACGGGGAGGAGCCCAGAGCCUGAAUCAGCAUGUGUGUUAGUGGAAGCGUCUGGAAAGGCGCGCGAUACAGGGUGACAGCCCCGUACACAAAAGCGCAUGUGCUGUGAGCUCGAUGAGUAGGGCGGGACACGUGGUAUCCUGUCUGAAUAUGGGGGGACCAUCCUCCAAGGCUAAAUACUCCUGACUGACCGAUAGUGAACCAGUACCGUGAGGGAAAGGCGAAAAGAACCCCGGCGAGGGGAGUGAAAAAGAACCUGAAACCGU
rnacentral:rRNA from 2 species